UUUCUGAAAUACAUUUUUCUCUUUUCCACAAUCCAUGUUUUACUGAUUAAGAGAAGUUGUUGUAUAUAACUAUGGCUGAAAGACGCUCGAGAGUAUCAGAAGAAGAGCGCCAAAGAGAGGCAGAUGAGAUUCAAGAUCAUGGCGCCGUAAUAAUUCAACCACCAAUACCAAAUGGUGUAUUCCGUUCUCGAUAUAUAAGAUUUUGCAAUCAAAAAGAAGCUUGGAAAGAACACUUGAUAUUUUUUAAAACUAAAAUUCUUAUAGUAUUCAUUUGUAGUCUGUUUAUAACUGGACUGUUCGUCUAUGCGUUCUUCGCGGACAGUUUUCCCUUUGUAGUUCACACAGCAGUAGCUAUUUUGGCAGCGGCGAACUUUUCUUUUUAUUGGGUAAAUAUUCCUGAAGGCCCACCAUUCCUAGCUAGAAAAAAUGGCAGUAUUAUCAGAUCAGAAUAUCUUUCAAGAUUUGGCUAAACCUUUGAUUCGAAAGGGACAAGAAUGAAGACUUUCAAAAUCUGAAAUUUUUUCUAUAAUUGUUCUGAGCCGAAACAAACACAUUGUGUAUUUAUUGCUGAUUUUAUAACAUGUUUACUGUGUGCUUUAAUAAUCUUGUUUUUAAUGUUUUAAUAAUAAAAUUUUGAAUUGUUUGUUCUCA